rnacentral:rRNA from 1 species
GAUGAACGCUGGCGGCGUGCCUAAUACAUGCAAGUCGAGCGAACAGACGAGGAGCUUGCUCCUCUGACGUUAGCGGCGGACGGGUGAGUAACACGUGGAUACCCUACCUAUAAGACUGGGAUAACUUCGGGAAACCGGAUCUAAUACCGGAUAAUAUAUUGAACCGCAUGGUUCAAUGGUGAAAGACGGUUUUGCUGUCACUUAUAGAUGGAUCCGCGCCGCAUUAGCUAGUUGGUAAGGUAACGGCUUACCAAGGCAACGAUGCGUAGCCGACCUGAGAGGGUGAUCGGCCACACUGGAACUGAGACACGGUCCAGACUCCUACGGGAGGCAGCAGUAGGGAAUCUUCCGCAAUGGGCGAAAGCCUGACGGAGCAACGCCGCGUGAGUGAUGAAGGUCUUCGGAUCGUAAAGCUCUGUUAUUAGGGAAGAACAAAUGUGUAAGUAACUAUGCACGUCUUGACGGUACCUAAUCAGAAAGCCACGGCUAACUACGUG